GUCCUGUCAACCCUUUUAGCAAGUGUCAAAAACUCAAAGAAAAAGACGAUGACUUUGAAGUCUACAAGUCAUAUUUCUGUGAACGAGUGAACUGGCAACAUGUCGAGCCUGUAAGUAGCUAGGUUUUUCCUAUAGAAAUUAUAGCAAGUCACAGUAAAAUCUUGAACACAGAACAACAACAACAACAGCAGCUGGAUCAAUUGGUUCCUCGGAAUCAAGGGCAACGAGUUCCUCUGCCACGUGCCCACCAACUACUUUCAGGACACGUUCAACCAGAUGGGCCUGGAGUACUUCAGCCAGCACUGGACGUGAUCCUGAAGCCGGCGUUCGACAGUUCCUCGGGCUUGUUCUACGACGAUGAGAAAAAGUGGUACGGCAUGAUUCACGCCCGAUACAUCAGGUCGGAGCGUGGCGUGAAUGAUAUGCACCGAAACUAUAUGAGAGGAGACUUUGAAUCGUGUCCGAAUAUCUCCUGUAAUAGGAAGAACACCCUGCCAGUGGGCCUCAGCGAUUUGGGGGGCAAGUCAACGGUGAAGAUCUACUGCCCACGCUGUAAAAACUACUUCCAUCCUAAAACUGAUACACAGCCAAAUUCGAGCCCAGCUUCCCGGACAUCUUCUUAACGCAGCUGCCGAACUUGAGACCGCCCCUGGACGACCCACGGUAAGUAAUUCUCCGAAUAUAGUCCUGGUUGUUUUCUAAACAAAGCGCUUGAACUUGCAGUCCCUAUGCUUUCGGUUGCACCAGAAGGCCUUGAUGCCACUUAAAUCGCCCAAGUCCUCACCAAAGAAAAUCGGAUCCUCGGCCAGCUAGUCCUCCU
ensembl:ncRNA Su(Ste):CR42420 Su(Ste):CR42420